GCCUCCACUCCUGCGGCCCGGGUGGCUGCCUGGGACCGCCCCUCCCCCUCCCCAGCUGGCUGCCCCGCCCGUGCCAGGCGGCUCACCUGCCGGCAGCCUGCCGGAGCACUUCCUCCUCCUUCUCUGCCCAGCCUCUGGCUGCGGCCCACAGGUUUGCAGCCAGCUCUACAGCUACAGACUUUGUGACCUCGGGCAAGUUGCUAAACUUCUCUGUACCCGCCCUCACAAGAUGAAGCUAGCCACACUCGGGGUGCAGAGCUCUUUGUAAAUGCGCCUCCGCCCCUUCCCUGGUUUGGCGGACACACAGUAGGCGCACAGAAAUGGCGCCCACCUCUACAUUGCUGCAGGGGAGGCCGCACUGCGUCCCCUCCCUCGCUGGGCACUCCGCCAUCCGAUGCAGCCAGAGCGUUCGGGUUAGACUUGCAGCUUUCCUGUGGGAGGCGCGGGUGGUGCUGGGCCGCUGGGGACGAUGCCCGCGGGGGGUGGGCGCCGAGCCGAGCCCAGGCACUCAGAGGGCUCCCCACCUCCGCCUCGGCCCUGCCGGUGGGGGAAGGGCCGCUCCGGCCGCCCAGUUCGGAUGCGGCCCCUCACGCAGGCCCCAGACCCCAGUCCUUCAGCCCCUAGCCGGCGCGGGGGGCGGGGCCUGGGUUUCGGUUUCUUGCAAACGCCGAGGCGACAGGGAAAUCGAGGAGUUUCCGGGAACCAAGCCGGGAGCGCAGAGGUUCGCAGGCUGCGGAUGGGGGAGGAGGAGGGCGACGGGCGGGCGUCCAGUGUCGCGGGUCCGUGGCCCUCUGGAAGUUCCAGCGGGAGCGGGGGAAAACCGGCCUCGGAAAAGCCCCACCCGAAUGCACCUGCCCCCAGCCCCCUCCCGGGUGGCGUUCCUUCAGAAGGGGGCGUGGUGGGGUGCGGAUGAGGGAGCUAUACUUGCAUGGGAGGAGGGCACUGUGGGCAGGAAGAAGUGUCUGAGGAAUGUGGAGGCCACCCUCCAAUGGCUGAGGUCCCCAACUGUACCACUCGCUGUCGCGGUCACAUCCUGAUUUAUUGUCUUCAUAGCUCUUACCAUUGCUGAACUUAUCCUUUUUGUGUAUUUUAUUUGUUGGAGGAUUCCUCCUACCUGUCUUGGAGCCCCUUGAGAUGCGGGCCUGCCUGCCUAGUCCAGCCUGCUGGGUCCUUCGGGCCUCGAAUGGGGCUAACACAAGGAGGGUCUCAGUGAGUGCUUAUUGAAUGAAUGAAGAAAUGGAGUGAGUUAGAGGUAUUUAGGGUGGGUCUUGUGGCCUUCUGACCUGCUCCCAGGGGACCUCUGGGCCCAUCUCUUCUUGGCCCCUAGCCCAGUCAGGUCAUGCUGAUGCCCCCAGCCAAAGGUGGCCCCCCUCUGUAAGAGAGGCCUUAGCCUCUUUGGGAGGGAGUCCCCUGUGGCUCCCUGAGAACUGCCCUCCAGAUGGGGUGGUUGGGCAGUGAGCAGACUGGCGUCAUCACAGAGGAAUGCUGGCUGUGGGGUCGGCCACUUCCUUCCCUCCCCAGGGCUUGCAGCUCAGGCCAGGGAUGAUUGUGGGUUGGGCCUGGAUCUGAGCCAGGGAGGCUGGGAGUUUGGGAUGGUGAGGCAGAGUCCAGCACCCUACCCUCCCUGACCUCUUCAGACCACAGUAAUAGCUGCUGUUAAGGUGAGCAGGGCUGCCUGCAAGCCCAUAUUUCCCAAAUUCUUGCUUUUGAGCUCCUACGUAGGGAUCUCCUUACUUACAGCCUGAAGAACAUGGCUCUUGGAAAGAAACAUCGAACAAGUAGAGCUCCCUCAGUCCAGAGGAGCUGAGGGUGGGGCAGCUAGCAGUGGUGGUCACUCUGGAGGCAGCCAGUUAGCCAGUGGAGGGGCAGACAGACGCUUAAGCAUUCCUUGUCCAGUCCAGCAUUGAUUUCCUCUGGUCCAGGCUCAAGAUCUGGGUGGUUGGCCUGGGAGAGGGCCAGGGAAACUCCAAAUGCUGCAAGAGUGGAGCGUGUGCUAUGAGCACAGCCCCUGGUGACCCUGGUGACUCAGCCUGGGAAUCCCGACUCCAGGGGCUGCCCUGGAAAUAAGGCUUAAGACAGUGAGGGGGCACCCCUAAGGGGUCCAGGGACCAUGGCAGCAGUCCCAGACCAAAUAGGGUCUUGUCCUCUCCUUCUCCUGGGCUCAAGUCUGGACCCACUGAUGCUGUUCCUCUGCCUAGUCCAAAUAGUAUCUUUGAGGCAGAGAACCCAACCCUGAUCCUAGCCCAUAAAUUGGACUUGGUGGAGGACCUGAUCUUCAGAGUGUCUGUGUUGGGCUCCAUUUGAGGUCAUAUUUUAGAAACAGUAGAUGUAGCUUAAGCUAGAAAAUAUCAACAGGAGUAUGUUUUUGUAGCUUGGACUCAGCAAGUGCUGAGUUAUAGGAACAUUCAUAGAAGGAAAGCAGGGCAAGAGGCAAGAGAAGAAGGGGUUGGUCCAGUGGGUGUUCUGUCCUGUUCACUGCUGUAGCCUCCAGAUCCAGCCUUGGCUGAGCACAGCAGGUGCCCUAUGAACCAGUGUGGCAUGGAUGGGGAUGGAUAGAUGGACGAUGGUUUCAGAUUGUCUCAGCAGCAUGCACGUUUUCCCUGAGAUGGUCUUGGCAACAGACAGUUUUCACAGAGACUCAUGGAUGCCCCCAAAGGGAGGGAGGAAGGGAGGGACAUGGCUUCCCUGAGUAGCACUGUGGUCAUUUCUGUCUGGUUCUUUCCUUCCAAGGGGAUCUUUGCUCUCUUUCCCAUCGCCCUGUUCACAUGUGUGUCCUCUCCUGGUCCUGCAGGGAGACUGGGAGUCUAGUGACAAGGGCCAGCCAACCACUUAACAAGGGGAAGGAGCUGUUAACAUCAGGUAGGGUCUCUCUUCCUCUCCUGGAAGGUAGGUCCACAAAGGGCCUCAAUUUAGAUAGAACCUCAGCCAGGUGUGAGAGGUUCCAGUCCUUUCUCUGCAUGAGUAAGUCCUCAGGAAGUAUCUGUUGGCUGACUGACUGACUGGGAGGAGGGAUGAAAGGUCAGCAGAGACCCACCUGCCUGGCUAGUCCAGGGAGAGCAUGACUGUCUGCCCUCCAGUUUGGCAAGUGAGAGACUAUAAUGAGCAUGUCACCAUGUCAGAUAGCCAAUGUGAAAUGCUGCUCUGGGAGUAUUUCAGUGGACUGGGUCCAUACUGGGGGGCAAAAUGGACCAGGGUUUGCUGGGAGAAGGAGCUCUGAGCCAGGAGGCUUCAGGUGACUGGCCACCCCCAGGAAACAAAAGCUAGUCUCCCUUCCUCGAGAACCCUCAAGAACAUUGGAGAAGGCUUCCCACAGCCUCAUGGGCUGGAGCAUACAUGUAUUACUUUGUUUUUAGUGGAGUGGUAACUCCAGAAGGCUGAAGACUUAGGGGCAUCUGAUGGUCACAGAAUGUUGCUCAGGCCUGUGCCUUUGCCAGCCAUGCAGGGGGACUUAGAAGUGAGUAGGCACGGUCCCCACCACUAAGCUGGAUGUGAACUCUCCAAGGACAAGAGAUGUGGUUAUUACACUCAGAGCCAUUUCCCUGGCACCCAGCACAACCCGUGCAAACAGUAGGCACUUAGUAAGUGUACUUGAUUACAGGAUGACAGGUGUAUGUCCUACCUGGAGUGUGAGGCGAAGGAGCAGCAAUGCUGGGGUGUGGGGACAGGAGCAAUUUAUCUCAGACGGUGUCACAGAUAGCCACUCUGAGGAGCUGGCAUUCAGCAGGGCCUUGAAGGAUGAUGAGUCAGCAGUGGGAGAGGGUGUUUAGGAUGUAGGAGCAGCCCAAGCAAAAGCCUGGAGGCUCAGAAGUACAGGACAGAUCCUACACUGUGGUGUGGCCUUGUAUGGCUGCUUUAGGGACUGAGGCUGGACCAGCCAACAGGGGCCACACUGUGAAGAAGCUUGAAUGCUCCUCAGGAGUAUGGACUUGAUCCUGGCAGACAGGGCUCUGUGGGGUGAGAGCCAUGGUUUCUCUCCUUCUGGAGAACCAAGGUCUGUCAUCAGAUGUUUGUUGAAGUAAACUCUAGGCCAGGCCCUGUGAGGGUAACAGGGAGUCUGACCUGUGCUUUAGAAAACUUUCUGUGGAGGAGGCACUCAUGCACCUCUGUUCUUGCAUGACCAUGAGAGUGAGUGCCUCCUUAAAUGUUGUACCAUAGGCCCCUGCUUGCAUCACCUUAGUCUGGUACCCUGCUGCACACUGGAUAGGAGGCAGCUCAGGUAGCUCCCUGUGGCUUAGGGCUCUGGCCAUAGGGGAUAGAGAGAAGUGGGCCUGGUUGAGAGCAGGAUCCGUGGAUGGUCAGGAUGUGAGAUGGGUUGGAGCAAGAUCCUUCUCAGUCCUUACCUAGGUUCCCCAUUCUGGGAGAAGUGUAGGGAAACCCCCACUCUGCCUAAGGGGCCUUUGCUUUGGUCUUAGGUUGUGAGUCUGGGGAACUGAGGGCAUUGAGCUAAAGAGUAGGGCAGGAGGUCAAAACUCACAGUUUGCCCCAGGAAUGCCCAGGUCGCUGGUGAUCACAGCCAGAACCAGAAACAACAUACCAGCACUGCUCGGCCCUGCCCUUUGGACCCUGCGUGUGGGUACAGCAGGUAAGGAAGGCCGGAUGAGGACGCCUCACUGCUGGAUGGGGUGUGUCUAUCAAUUCAUCAUCCCUCUGCUAUCCAGCAGGACCAGAGUCCACCCCCAUGUCCACCUGCUAGAGGAUUAGCAGUUCUGCUCCCAAGCCCCAGCCCUCUGGAAGCUCUGACCCUGUGGCAGCAGUGCCCCCUGCUGGAUAGCACCCUCCUCAGGGUCUAGGGAAGAGAAAAGCGUGCAUGGACAAUACUGGCUCAAAGGGUGGGAGCAGGAAUUGAGGAUGGACUUUGGCUAAGGUAGAUAGGCGGGUGCCACCUGGUAAACAAAGCACCUGCUUCCUGGUCUGUAACCUUUAGCAGACUCCAAGAAAAGGGAGAGUUGGGGUUUACUAAGGUGACUGCUGGGGGAGGCGAGAGAAAGAGGACCCUGUCCUCUCCCCUGGUGUCAUGGCCCAAGAAGGCCUGCAUCCUAGACAGAGCACACAUCUCCUCAGGUGGGCUCAGGAGCCCCAUCAGGUUCUCCCAGAGCAACCCCCCUGGUCCCUAGAGGGAUUUGUCCUGGGACUGAGGGCCAAGGGAUAGGCUUGUGAGGGGACAGUGCCUUAGGCAUUCUAAAAAGAAGAGUCAUCCCCAGACAGAAUUCCUACCCCAACUGUCCAAUCCAGGCUGAGAAUGGAGACAGGGGGGACAUGUCAGAGAACAAGAAUCAGAGAGCCCAUGAGCAGCUGCCUGGCUUCUCAGAUUCAAACCUUAUCUGACUCAUUCCCCUCCUGAGCCCCAGGCCAGUGCCUCGAACACAGGGGCCAAUUUGACGUGCAGUGAGAUGCCCAGCGGACAGAGGAGUGAGAGAACCCCACAUGGCCACCUCAGUCCCCCUAUCUCUGAGCCAGAAAGUCCACAAACAGGGCCACACCCUGGGCAGCCACUUCCCAGAAGUUUCUGCCACUAAAAAAGAAGGUGGCUUUCCCCGACAAGUCGUGCUCUCCCAUAGCCCUGGCACCUGGAGUCCCCACCUCAGAUAAGAGGCUUCUGGGAGUUUGUUUACAUCGUGACUCUUGGUUACAGUGAGGCCUCACCUGUCUCCUCGGAGCCCAGGCAGCAGUCUUGAGCCCCAGGAAACUUGUUUCCCAGGCCAAAACAGUGUAGGUGUCUGCUGUUCUCUUUGAGACAGGCCCUAGGGAGGGCCUUGUGCUCAGGAGAGUAGUUCCUCACCGUGGCCCAGGUGUGACCUUAGCAGCCAUCUUGAUGCAGCAGGACAAUGUAAGCUCCUCACAGAGACUCCUCAGAGCACUCAACUACCAGGCUCUCAGGGAGAGAUGAGGCCUAUAGGAGGAUCCUUGAAGAGAAGAAACGGAUGCUGUGUGCUAAAACUGCGUACGCACCCUAGGUGCCAGCUCGGCCAGCAGGCCUGGUGCCACAUGGCCCGAGAGGGGGUGAGGGCCCUGGGAGCAGUGAGCUAUCACCCAUUCGUGGGAGGGCUGGCCCACCGUGCUGAGGAUUGUGGGAUGGGAAAAUCAACUUGCAGCCCCCCGGAAGCACAGGAGCAGAGUGAACAUUGGAUUAGGUCAAAAGGGUCUAAUUUCCUUUGACAAGCAAGCCUUGGGAAGGCCUUCUGGGCUGUGCCUACGAAGUACACCAUUACCUCGUGUGCAUUCUGUGUGGGCCUAACAGCCCUAGCAACCAAAGUAGGGCUGUCCCUUGGGUGGGAGCCCACACCAGAGCCAGGGACAUGACAACUCUGUCACAAAGCUCCCAAAACACUUCUAGAGGAAUUGAUCUUCUCUCAAGCUUCUCUGCAAUUUUUCUCUUGUCCUUUUCCUGCACAUGUGUCUUUUCUCUCCCUCUUCUAGCCCAGGGAUACUUUUGAUCAUUGGUGCCACGGGGAUGGAUUACUUGACAAAUUCAGACAACAAACAUUUACUUUCUAGCCAGGUGACAGGCACAGAGGUAGGUGCUAUGGGCACAGACAUUCAACAAGAGUUUAUUGAGCCUAUACUAUGUGCCAGGCAUGGCUCUAGACACUAGGGAUAUAGAAAUGAAUAAGAUGAAGUCCCUGCUGUCAUGAAACUCAUAUUCUAGUGAAGGCAGGCAACAAACAACAAGGAGAGUGUCAUACUGUGAUAAGUAUUCUGCAGAGAAAUAAAAUAGCAUGAUGUCAUAGACAGUAUGGAAGCAGCAACUUUAGAUUUUGUGUUCAAAGAAUAUCUGUCUUAAAAAAAAAAAAAGAAUAUCUGUCUAAAGGGAUGAUAUUUAAACUUUCUAAAUGACAGAAGGGGCAGCAGUGUGCAAAACAGUGAAGAGCACUCCAGGCAGAGGGAAUAGCUAGUGCAAAGGUCUUGGGAAGAGAACAAACUCAGUGUGUUUAAGGAAAAAGAUUCUUGUGACUGCAGCAUGGCAGCCAAGCGGGGGAGAAUGAUAGAAGGUGCGGCCGGUAAGAUAGGCAUUGGUCAGAUAAUGUGGGGCAUUUGGGGCUUGAGCGUAUGCCAAGGGAAUGGAGAGCCUUUGUAUGAUGUUAUGUAUGGAGGUGAAAUGAUUCAGUGUGCAUUUUUAAAUGCUCACUAGCUGCUGUUUGCCGAUUGGACUGUGGUCUAGUCCAAGCCUUUCUGCAAGUGUGGAAGCAAGAAGACCAUGGGGAGGCCAGAGUAGGAGGAUGAUCCAGGGGAGAUGAACCAGGGUGGUGGUGGUAUCAAUGGAAAUAACAGGGAGUGGAUCCAGGUAGAGUAUGGAGCGGAAGCCAAACAGAGCUGAAGAAUGAGAGAAAAUAUUUGCAAAUCAUAUGUCUGAUAAAUUGACUUGUAUAUAGAAUAUAUAAAGAAGGCUUAAAGCUCAAUUAUAAGAAGACAACACAUUUUUUAAUGGCCAGAAGAUUUGAAUGGGUAUUUCACCAAAGAAGAUAUGCAUAUGGCAGAUAAGCACAUGAAAAGAUGCUCAACAUCAGUAGUCAUUAAGGACAUGCAAACUGAAACCACAAUGAAAUACCACUACACAUCCACUAAGAAGACUAAAUGAAAAAGACUACGCCAAGUACUGGUAAUGAUAUGGAGCAGCUGGAAUGCUCCUAAGCUGCUGACAGAAUGUAAAAUGAUACAACUACUUUGGAAAACAUUUUGGCAUUUUCCUAGAAAGUUAAAUAUACACCUACCAUAUAACCUAGGCUUUCCAUUCCUAGGUAUGUAUGCAAAAUAAAUGAAAGUAUGUGUUCACGCAAAGACUUGUACGUGAAUGUUUAUUGCUGCUUAAUUUGUAAAAAAGACAGAAACUGGAAACAACAAAAAUGACCAUUAAUAAGAGAAUGGAUAAAUAGAUUGUAGCAUAUUUAUACAGUGGAAUACCACUUGGCAGUAAAAAGGAGUGAACUAGGUAACAUAGAGUAAAUAUCCUCCUCCCUGUCUCUCCCAGUGAAUGCAACAUUAAAACCUAGACAAAAUGCAUGGAAGACUUUCAAGAGUAAAUAAUAGCAGGUGAAUUGGGGAAGAAAAGCAGAAUUUGGAGUACCAUUGGACUAGGGCCCUGGAUGCAGGACGUACACAACAAAGCAAAGUAACUGAAACUCCAGGUUUUUGGCUAGAGAACCAAAAAGAGGAGCCCUAGAGAACCUAAAAGUACCAAAGAGAUUGUGGAGAAGGCAGCACUCAAGAAACUGACUCCAUAAAGUUGUUUAUGAACACCUGGGCUCACCCCCAAGAUGAGCAUGCAUGGAUUUGAUCCUAAGCAGCACACCAAAGACUUCAGAACUAAACUAAAGAAUAAACCACUGUCUGUUCUCACACUGACCACUGGAGGGUGCACAUACAGGACAGAUCUAAACAGCACUGAAAAGGCUUUGAAAAUGGAACUAACAUUGAAACCACAAUCCACAGUAGGCUGGUCAGAAUUUGUGGCCUGAGCCCAAUAGAGUCAAUUGCCUGCUAAAAUAUAAAUGUCAACAUUCUCCAUAGUAUUCAAACAGGAUCCAGAGUCUCAUAAAAUUCAAAUGUCCAGCAUUCAAAACAAAAUUAUUUGGCAUACAAAGAUCCAGGAAAAUCUCAACUUACAUGGUAAAAUAUGAUCAAAAAAGGCCAACAGUGAGGUACUGAAAUUAAAUGGCAAAGAUUUUAAAGUGCUAUAAUGAAAAUGCUCUAAAAGGUAAAGGCUAACACUCUUGAAAUAAAUGGAAAGAUAGAAAGUCUUAACAAAUAAAUAAAAGAUAGAGAAACUAAAAUUUUAGAACUUAAAAAUAUAAGAGCCAAAAUCAAAUACUCACUAGAUAAGCUCAAGAGCAGAACAGAGAUGACAGAGGAGUCAGUAAGUAAGUAAACUUGAAGAUAGGCCAGUACAAAUUAUCCAAUCUGAGUAACAGUAAGAAAAAGAUUUUUUAAAAAAAUGAAUAGAACCUCAAAGACAAUACCAGAAAGUCUAACAUUCAUGUCAUUGGAGUUCCAUAAAGAGAGGAGAAAGAGUGCAGUGAAGACAAAAAAUUUGAAGACAUAAUGACUGAAAACUUCCCAAAUUUGGCAAAGGACAUAAACCUACAGAUUCAAAAUCUCAGCAAGCCCCAAACAGGAUAAACCAAAGAAAUUCAUGCCCAUAUGUAUCAUAAUGAAACUGUUGAAAACUGAAGAUACAUACACACACACACAUACACACCUGUAUGUGUGUAUUUCACUAUAUAUUUCAUUAUAUAUUACAUGUAUUUAUGUUAUGUGACUAUAUUAAAAGAUGUAUAUAUUUUAAUAUAUAUAAGUGCAUAUUUCACUUUAUUUAUAUCUGCCAGAAAAAAAAAUUGCAUUGUGGAAACCAGAAGGAAGUGGAUCACAUCUUUAAAGUACAAGAGUAAAAGAACUAUCAACCCAGAAUUGGAUACAAUUCUGUAUCCAGUAAAAAUACCCUUCAGGAGUAAAGGUGAAAUAAAAACAUUUUCAGAUGAAGGAAAUCUAAGAGAAUUCCUUGACAGAAGACCUGUUCUAAAAUAAUUUCCAAAAAAAUGUCUUCAGACAGAAGGGAAAUGAUUCCAGAAGUUAACUUGGAGUAUCAGGAAUGAAGGAAGAACAACAGAAUGGUAAAAUCUGGGUUAAUUUAACAUUCUACUCUUUUGCUCUUGAGUUCUUUAAAAAAUGUUUUAUGUUUAAAACAAAAAUUAUAAUAUUUUCUGAUGGUGUUUUCAAUGUAUGUAUAUGUAAUAUAUUAAAACUACAACAGAAGGAGGGGAGAAUAAAGGAACCUACAUGAUGGUAAGUUUUUACAUUCUGUUUAAAAUGGUAAAAUGUCUAUUCUAAGCAGACCUGAAAAGGAAAUAUGUAUAUUGUAUUGUAAUUCCUAGAGCAAUCACUAAAAAAAAGAGGUAAUUACAAACACAACACAUGCAUUUAAAUGGAAUGCUAAAAAAAAAUGU